AACAUUGCAGUGGCUGUAUCAUAGCCAAUGAGGUUUAUCCGAGGCGUGAUUAUUGCUAAUUGAAAACUAAUCUUAACAUUGCAUCAUUCUAUUUAGUUCUAGGGAUAUCCUGGCUGUAAUUAGAAUAUAAGUAGGUAU